UACAGUCAGAAGAACGCUUCCGGAACUUUCCGAGGCAUGUCGAUACCACAACAGUACAUAACAACACCUAUUUAGGCCACGACGUAGCGUCAGUUUUACCAUGCGCUUUUCUAAAGUGUCUAAAAUAUACGUCGGAUGGGCCACGAUCAUAGCAGUUGGCAUUGCAGGCUUUGCUAUGGCUCGACAGUCCGUAGUAGGCAAUCGUGCAGAAAUUAUGAGAAGGAAACAGAGCAUUCGAGACUUUGUCAUUGCUGAACGUGAAGCCGAGGACAACUAAUGUGGAAAACAUAGUGAAGACUGUUGUGACCUGACAUCAUGCCUGUGUAUCUUCUCUGAAGAGAAGGCACUUGGUAACAAAUUGAGACUUCAUUGCAACAUUUAAAACGGAGGCAUUCAAGAUGACUGAAAGUGUUCACAUCUGUGGUAGUCAUGGAGACUUAAUUGUUAGUGUUUCUACAUCCAUGUUUAUAGGCCAGAUUGUUGUGUGUCAUGUUUGUGAGUAAGUGUGACUAUUGUCAUGGAAUAAAUCUUUUCAUUGAUCA